GACGAACGCUGGCGGCGUGCCUAAUACAUGCAAGUAGAACGCACAGUUUAUACCGUAGCUUGCUACACCAUAAACUGUGAGUUGCGAACGGGUGAGUAACGCGUAGGUAACCUGCCUGGUAGCGGGGGAUAACUAUUGGAAACGAUAGCUAAUACCGCAUAAUAUUGAUUAUUGCAUGAUAAUUGAUUGAAAGAUGCUAUUGCAUCACUACCAGAUGGACCUGCGUUGUAUUAGCUAGUAGGUGAGGUAACGGCUCACCUAGGCGACGAUACAUAGCCGACCUGAGAGGGUGAUCGGCCACACUGGGACUGAGACACGGCCCAGACUCCUACGGGAGGCAGCAGUAGGGAAUCUUCGGCAAUGGACGAAAGUCUGACCGAGCAACGCCGCGUGAGUGAAGAAGGGUUUCGGAUCGUAAAGCUCUGUUGUAAGAGAAGAACGGGUGUGAGAGUGGAAAGUUCACACUGUGACGGUAGCUUACCAGAAAGGGACGGCUAACUACGUG
rnacentral:rRNA from 1 species